rnacentral:lncRNA from 1 species
UUUUUGUUACCUAACUAUUCCUAGUACAAUCUUGUUAUUUUUUAGAGUAAUUUUUUUCUGUGCAAUUUAAAUCCUAUAAUCCCAAGUGGUUUAAUUGAAUAAAAGUGUAUUUCUCAUCUUUCAUUCUCAUGUAGUUUCAGCAAAACUCCAAAGCAGCCGUCCUCCAAAUAGUGACACAAAAAUCCAAGCAUCUUCAAUAUUCUUAACUGUGCUCUCUAGAACGUGUGGCUACAGGGUCACAGCAGCUGAGGUGGAAUGAGAUCAAGAGACACACCAGUUCUUCUCUGCCUUAGAAUGGGUCAUACCAGCAAGAAGCAGAUGUCUAAAAUGUCAGCAGGUGACGUUUUAAAAAUAACAGCUUUACUGAGGCAAUGAAAUAUUAUCCAGUGGAUGUAAAAUUUAAGAAGGGAGAAGGCCUUCCAGAGAUGACAGCCUCUUUUUUCCUUUAGUGGCAUUAUAUCAAAUGUUAUUACUAGAGC